CCCUGAGCUGAGAGACCACAAGCAGAAGCCAUGGGCUCCUGGUUUGGACUUAGAAAAAAACCUGAAACCUUCAAUGGCGUCUCCACCAUCAUAGGUGGGCCUGCAGCCCAACCUUAACCUUGGGUCCUCGUCCUAACGACCUGAAGAUCGUCCCCUGACGGAUUUUGGUCGAGAUUCGUUUUUAUUCUCAUCGGAUUUGUUUGAAACUUCGUUACAAUUUUUUUAGGGUUUCUAUAAUGUUGAGAGUUUUUACUCUCCAUUCACACUUUUGGGUCACCGAUGAACCCAUAAUUUUUUUUUCGUGAUUUUUGUGCACGA
rnacentral:lncRNA from 1 species